rnacentral:rRNA from 1 species
CCUACGGGAGGCCGCAGUGGGGAAUAUUGCACAAUGGGGGGAACCCUGAUCCAGCGACGCCGCGUGAGUGAAGAAGUAUCUCGGUAUGUAAAGCCCUAUUAGCAGGGAAGAAAAUGACGGUACCUGACUAAGAAGCCCCGGCUAACUACGUGCCAGCAGCCGCGGCAAUACGUAGGGGGCAAGCGUUAUCCGGAUUUACUGGGUGUUAAGGGAGCGCAGUCGGCUGUGCAAGUUUGGAGUGAAAGGCGGGGGCCCAACCCCCGGACUGCUCUGGAAACUGGAAAGCUGGAGUGAAAGAGAGGUAAGCGGAAUGCGUGGUGUAGCGGUGAAAUGCAUAGAUAUUAGGAAGAACACCAGUUGCGAAGGCAGCUUACUGGACUGCAACUGACGUUGAGGCACGAAAGCGUGGGGAGCGAACAGGAUUAGAUACCCGUGUAGUC